rnacentral:lncRNA from 1 species
AUGGGCGCCCGCCCACCGGAGGAGCGACUGGAGUUGAUCGGCUGGGCGCUCAGCUGGGAUCCUUGAUGGACAGUGCCUAAGCAUGGAGGCAACUGCAGGUUUCUGGCCAGGGCCACUCUCUGGUGAAACUAAAAGGUCCAUGUGGAAGCACCUGACUGCCACCACCUGGUUCAGGAUCAAGUCUGUGAUACCUGAAGCCUCAGACCUGGAACCUGAAGUUUCCUUCAGCCACUACACCUGUGAACCUGUGGAAGACCUGAAGUGCCUGUUUAGAAGACAGCCAAAAGAUAAAAAUUACAAUUUGGGGACAGGAGGAGAGAUACAGGUGGGAAGUCACAGGAACUAAAGUCAAACUAAAGGAAAAUCUGUGGCGAGAAGGUCCAUGAAGUUCUACUGCUAAGGUCCCUGAAGUUGAUCUGGUUCCUCCCGCUUCUGGACUUUUCCUUGGACUCCAUGAGAUAAUCUAAUGUUCUUUCAAUAGUUUCACUCUUGUUGCCCAGGCUGGAGUGCAAUGGUGUGAUUUCAGCUUACUGAAACCUCCACCUCCUAGGUUCAAGAGAUUCUCCUGCCUCAGCUUCCCGAGUAGCUGGAAUUACAGCUUCAGAUCCAAAUGGUAUGCUAGCAUUCUCUUCCUAGCAGUCCACUGUCAAGACUUCACUGUUAGAAGAAGAAUCACACCAGAAUUAAGGUCAAAUGGAUUAUCUUAUUCUUAAUUGCUGAAAAUCACACCUCAUUGAAAUUUGCUUCAUAACUGAACCAUGAAUUUUUCAUCAAACAUACUUUUGUGUUUCUCCUCCUGGCAUUCUUUAUGAGGAACUUCUUUUUGGAGCUCACUGACUUCCUGUUCUAAUUUGGUCCAGUUAUUUUCUAGAAUUGCUACAUGACUGUCAUCCUGGGACAUCCUUCUGUUGGAAUCUGGGAGAGCUUACAACUUUUCAUAUCCUCUCUUCUUCUUUGUGUUUUUCACCCUGAAGUGUACAAAGUCAAAUGAAUUUCCUAGAAAAACUAGUGAGUUAAUAUUUUGAGUCCUUGUGAUAUGGGAGGGGGGCAGGGAAGUGCUGGGUAGAGAAGGGUGGGGUCCCUGGUGAGGGCUCCACUCUCAGGCCUGUGCUCAUGGACCUAAAUGAGGACAGGCAUUUCUGUUUUCAUGCCCCAAAUGUUGCCUUUUGGCCCACCAUGCGCCCCAUCCUGUACCCAUAAAAACCCAAGACUUGAGAAGGCACAGACACAAGUGGCGGGACGUCAAGAGAGCUGAAGAACACAGCAACAGACACCAGCAGACAACAUCAGGCCAUCGAUGGCUGCAUGAUGUGGAAUUUGGCUGGGGGCAGUUGGAGGAGAGUCUGGCUAUUGGGCGACCUGACUCCAGGGGAAGACUACCUUCCCACUCCAUCCCCCUUGGGGCUCCUCAUGCAUCUCACGAGAGCUACCUCCACCACUCAAUAAAACCUUGCACGCAUCCUCCAA